rnacentral:rRNA from 1 species
CACGUAGGGGGCAAGCGUUGUCCGGAUUUAUUGGGCGUAAAGAGCUCGUAGGUGGUUCGGUAAGUCGGGUGUGAAACCUCCAGGCUCAACCUGGAGACGCCACCCGAUACUGCUGUGACUAGAGUCCAGUAGGGGAGCGUGGAAUUCCUGGUGUAGCGGUGAAAUGCGCAGAUAUCAGGAGGAACACCAGUGGCGAAGGCGGCGCUCUGGGCUGGAACUGACACUGAGGAGCGAAAGCGUGGGGAGCGAACAGG